rnacentral:misc_RNA from 1 species
UUUUGGAUGUGGGGGUUUUUGCUGGGCCACUUUAAAAGGGGUUCAGCUCCCCUGAAAUGCAUUAGCAGAACAACCCUGUUCAUUGGUGUGAUAACUAUCUACGCUAUUGAAUGUGAGGGGCAGUUCAGCUUUCUAACGGUCCUUGGACAAUUCAUCAUUAAUGUGACCUCAAAUCAGGUAGGACUACCCGCUGAACUUAA